UACGGGGGGGGCAAGCGUUGUUCGGAAUUACUGGGCGUAAAGCGCACGUAGGCGGCUUGGUAUGUCGGGUGUGAAAUCCCCGGGCUCAACCUGGGAACUGCAUCCGAAACUGCCUUGCUCGAGUAUGGGAGAGGGAAGUGGAAUUUCCGGUGUAGCGGUGAAAUGCGUAGAUAUCGUAAGGAACGCCAGUGGCGAAAGCGAGUCUCUGGGCAGCAUCUGACACUGAGGCACGAAGGCCAGGGGAGCAAACGGG
rnacentral:rRNA from 1 species